rnacentral:rRNA from 1 species
GAGAUGAAACGCAUGAGCUCAACUCAUGCAUGGCUUUGGAAACUGGAGGACUGGAGAGCAGGAGAGGGCGGUGGAACUCCAUGUGUAGCGGUAAAAUGCGUAGAUAUAUGGAAGAACACCAGUGGCGAAGGCGGCCGCCUGGCCUGUUGCUGACGCUGAGGCACGAAAGCGUGGGGAGCAAAUAGGAUUAGAUACCCUAGUAGUCCACGCCGUAAACGAUGAGGACCAAGUGUUGGGGGUGAAACCUCAGUGCUGAAGUUAACGCAGUGAGUCCUCCGCCUGGGGAGUAUGCACGCAAGUGUGAAACUCAAAGGAAUUGACGGGGGCCCGCACAAGCGGUGGAGUAUGUGGUUUAAUUCGAAGCAACGCGAAGAACCUUACCAGGCCUUGACAUGGGAUGCGAAGAUGCAGAGAUGCAUCGGAGGUCAACAUCCACACAGGUGGUGCAUGGUUGUCGUCAGCUCGUGUCGUGAGAUGUUGGGUCAAGUCCCGCAACGAGCGCAACCCUUGUGGCAUGUUGCUAACAGGAAAAGCUGAGGACUCAUGCCAGACUGCCGGUGACAAACCGGAGGAAGGCGGGGAUGACGUCAAAUCAUCAUGCCCCUUAUGGCCUGGGCUACACACGUACUACAAUGGCGGCUACAAAGAGCAGCGAGACAGGGAUGUCGAGCGAAUCUCAUAAAAGCCGUCCCAGUUCGGAUUGGAGGCUGCAACCCGCCUCCAUGAAGUUGGAAUCGCUAGUAAUCGCGGAUCAGCAUGCGGGGGGGAAAAUA